rnacentral:lncRNA from 1 species
AUAUCUCCUCCUAAGACUGUAAGAUGGGUAACUUCAGCUUUGGCAGAAUUUAAAUGGGGAAAUAGAAGUAAAUAAAAUUUGGCUAAUGCUGGUGUUCCUUUUGGCCUUGAAAGCUACCAUGUAUCACCCCACAAUGAGCUUCUGUCAGCGUCUGUUGGAGCGGUCAUCUACUGUUAUGCCUCUUCCAUAAAGGAUGCUUCUUUGAAGGAUUCUUACCAAUCUUGUGUGACCACCCUGAGCCAACAUACUUGGGGUCUAGUCAAUUGUCUGCCCACGGUGUCGGCCAAGAAAGGAGGACAAAGAUAUCAGUGGGACUUCACUGGUUUCAACCACACGUAGCAACUGGCUCUCAAUGUUCCAUCUUAAGUAAGUCAGAAUGUAAUUUCUGAAAAACAAACAAACCCAAAACCUUACUGUCCAACUCUCAAGGUAAAAGGGAAUGUAACAUCUUGUCCUAAGAGGAUUUUUUUUAUGUCAAAGCUAAGCUUCCCUGUACGAUGACAUUGCAACUGUUUUAUUAUCAUGCUUUUUGUUAAGAUUCCUGCUCUAACU